rnacentral:misc_RNA from 1 species
AAAGAGGCAUUUACUUAUUACAGAGAUGGUGUGAUUUGAUUUUUUUAUUUACCGCUGUCAAGUCUUAGGAGAAAGACACAUUAGUCGGGAUAGAAAGAUUUGAAAUAACUCUACGCUUGUUGAAGGUGAAGUUUAUAAAUAAAACAAUUCCUUCUGUCGGGUAUCCCCGAUUAAUGCAGCCUCAAAUGCUUCAAUUGUCAAUUCUAGCAUUGAACGAAAGGUUACACCUAUGCC